CCUACGGGAGUCAGCAGUGGGGAAUAUUGCACAAUGGGGGAAACCCUGAUGCAGCAACGCCGCGUGCGUGAAGCAGGUUUUCGGAUUGUAAAGCUCUGUUAGCAGGGAAGAGGAAGGACGGUACCUGCAGAGGAAGCCACGGCUAACUACGGGCCCGCAGCCGCGGUCAUACGUCGGUGGCAAGAAUUGGUAGGAAGAACUGGGCGUAAAAGAUGUGUAGACGGUUAAACAAGUUAUAUGGUAAAUAUAUAGGGUUAACCUGUAGAAAGCAUAUAAAACUGUUUAACUAGAGUGAAGGAGAGGUAAGUGGAAUUCCUAGUGUAGCGGGGAAAUGCGUAGAGAUUAGGAAGAACACCAGUGGCGAAGGCGACUUACUGGACUGUAACUGACGCUGAGGCAUGAGAGCAUGGGGAGCAAACAGGAUUAGAUACCCUUGUAGUC
rnacentral:rRNA from 1 species